rnacentral:rRNA from 1 species
GAUGAACGCUGGCGGCGUGCCUAAUACAUGCAAGUCGAGCGAACGGACGAGAAGCUUGCUUCUCUGAUGUUAGCGGCGGACGGGUGAGUAACACGUGGAUAACCUACCUAUAAGACUGGGAUAACUUCGGGAAACCGGAGCUAAUACCGGAUAAUAUUUUGAACCGCAUGGUUCAAAAGUGAAAGACGGUCUUGCUGCCACUUAUAGAUGGAUCCGCGCUGCAUUAGCUAGUUGGUAAGGUAACGGCUUACCAAGGCAACGAUGCAUAGCCGACCUGAGAGGGUGAUCGGCCACACUGGAACUGAGACACGGUCCAGACUCCUACGGGAGGCAGCAGUAGGGAAUCUUCCGCAAUGGGCGAAAGCCUGACGGAGCAACGCCGCGUGAGUGAUGAAGGUCUUCGGAUCGUAAAACUCUGUUAUUAGGGAAGAACAUAUGUGUAAGUAACUGUGCACAUCUUGACGGUACCUAAUCAGAAAGCCACGGCUAACUACG